rnacentral:rRNA from 1 species
AGCCUACGGGGGGCAGCAGUGGGGAAUAUUGCACAAUGGGGGAAACCCUGAUGCAGCAACGCCGCGUGAGUGAAGAAGUAUUUCGGUAUGUAAAGCUCUAUCAGCAGGGAAGAGAAUGACGGUACCUGACUAAGAAGCCCCGGCUAACUACGUGCCAGCAGCCGCGGUAAUACGUAGGGGGCGAGCGUUAUCCGGAUUUACUGGGUGUAAAGGGAGCGUAGACGGUUCUGCAAGUCUGAAGUGAAAGCCCGUGGCUUAAUCGC